rnacentral:rRNA from 1 species
CUACGGAGGGUGCAAGCGUUGUUCGGAAUCACUGGGCGUAAAGGGCGCGCAGGCGGUUUGGUAAGUCAGAUGUGAAAGCCCACGGCUCAACCGUGGAAGUGCAUUUGAAACUGCCAGACUUGAGUACCAGAGGGGAAAGUGGAAUUCCCGGUGUAGAGGUGAAAUUCGUAGAUAUCGGGAGGAAUACCGGUGGCGAAGGCGACUUUCUGGCUGGAUACUGACGCUGAGGCGCGAAAGCGUGGGGAGCAAACAGGAUUAGAAACCCGAGUAGUCC